GACGAACGCUGGCGGCGUGCUUAACACAUGCAAGUCGAGCGGUAAGGCCCUUCGGGUACACGAGCGGCGAACGGGUGAGUAACACGUGGGUGACCUGCCUCUAGCUCUGGGAUAAGCCUGGGAAACUGGGUCUAAUACCGGAUAUGACUCCACGGCGCAUGUUGUGGGGUGGAAAGCCUUGUGUGGCUAGAGAUGGGCCCGCGGCCUAUCAGCUUGUUGGUGGGGGAUGGCCUACCAAGGCGACGACGGGUAGCCGGCCUGAGAGGGCGACCGGCCACACUGGGACUGAGACACGGCCCAGACUCCUACGGGAGGCAGCAGUGGGGAAUCUUGCGCAAUGGGCGAAAGCCUGACGCAGCGACGCCGCGUGAGGGAUGACGGCCUGGUGUAACGU
rnacentral:rRNA from 1 species